rnacentral:lncRNA from 1 species
AAUCUGUAUUGCUUCCUGGAAGAAUUAAUUUAGCCGCCUGCAUGAAGCACUGUACCAGUCUCCAUCCUGAUUGUGGAAACAUGUGUGAGAUGGAGACAGAUAACCUGGCUCCCUAACCAGGACUAUGGACUGGUCUCACAUCAACCUGUCUUUAGCAAGAUUGAAACCAAUUUGACCCCCUCCUGGAUGGAAAGAAGUCUCUCAUUAGAUGACAAAAUAGGCUCAACACUUGGAUCUGUUUCUGUCAACCCACAGAAAUAAGUGUUCGAUUUUCCUUUUCCACGCUCCAGUUUCCUCUCAGAUAUUCUGUUAUCUGUACCGGAAGCAGCGGUGCUGACAACGAGGAAGUCUCUGAGGAAAGCCCCUGUUUGUACCGUGCUUCCAGAAUCUGCCCUGCCUCUGGGCCACUCUAAUGUAAUUGGUGAGUUUGAAUUUCCCCCUGAACACAUCACUAACAAAGCAGAUUAGUUUUUAUGACCGAAAUAUUGCCCACGUUACAUAUCUCUUUAGUCUUCCUGCAACUCUGGCACCAAGGAAAAGAGAAUUUAAUGUUUUCAUGUGUUUUAUUUUAAUUGAAUCAGCU